AGUGAACGCUGGCGGUAGGCCUAACACAUGCAAGUCGAACGGCAGCACAGUAAGAGCUUGCUCUUACGGGUGGCGAGUGGCGGACGGGUGAGGAAUACAUCGGAAUCUACUUUUUCGUGGGGGAUAACGUAGGGAAACUUACGCUAAUACCGCAUACGACCUACGGGUGAAAGCAGGGGAUCUUCGGACCUUGCGCGAUUGAAUGAGCCGAUGUCGGAUUAGCUAGUUGGCGGGGUAAAGGCCCACCAAGGCGACGAUCCGUAGCUGGUCUGAGAGGAUGAUCAGCCACACUGGAACUGAGACCCGGUCCAGACUCCUACGGGAGGCAGCCGUGGGGAAUAUUGGACAAUGGGCGCAAGCCUGAUCCAGCCCUACCGCGUGGGUGAAGAAGGCCUUCGGGUUUUAAAGCCCUUUUGUUGGGAAAGAAAAGCAGCAGGUUAAUACCCCGCUGUUCUGACGGUACCCAAAGAAUAAGCACCGGCUAACUUCGUG
rnacentral:rRNA from 1 species